GCCCGAGUAGCUCAGGGGAUAGAGCAACGCCCUUCUAAGGCGGAGGUCGCAGGUUCGAAUCCUGCCUCGGGUACCA
rnacentral:tRNA from 1 species